UCCGGUUUGACACCGGCAGUCCCCUUAGAGUCCCCAGCAUAACCUGAUGGUAACUAAGGGCAAAGGUUUCGCUCGUUAAGGGACUUAACCCGACAUCUCACGACACGAGCUGUCGACAGCCAUGCAGCACCUGUACCAGUUGUACCCCGAAGGGCCUACCCGACUUUCAUCGGGAUAAUCCUGGCAAGUCAAGCCCAGGUAAGGUUCUGCGCGUUGCUUCGAAUUAAACCACAUGCUCCACCGCUUGUGUGAGCCCCCGUCAAUUCCUUUGAGUUUUAGCCUUGCGGCCGUACUCCCCAGGCGGAACACUUAACGCGUUGGCUUCGGCACAGGGGGAUUCGACUCCCCCCACACCUAGUGUUCAUCGUUUACGGCAUGGACUAC
rnacentral:misc_RNA from 1 species